GACGAGCGCUGGCGGCGUGCUUAACACAUGCAAGUCGAACGGAAAGGCCCUGCUUUUGUGGGGUGCUCGAGUGGCGAACGAGUGAGUAACACGUGAGUAACCUGCCCUUGACUUUGGGAUAACUUCAGGAAACUGGGGCUAAUACCGGAUAGGAGCUCCUGCUGCAUGGUGGGGGUUGGAAAGUUUCGGCGGUUGGGGAUGGACUCGCGGCUUAUCAGCUUGUUGGUGGGGUAGUGGCUUACCAAGGCUUUGACGGGUAGCCGGCCUGAGAGGGUGACCGGCCACAUUGGGACUGAGAUACGGCCCAGACUCCUACGGGAGGCAGCAGUGGGGAAUAUUGCACAAUGGGCGGAAGCCUGAUGCAGCAACGCCGCGUGCGGGAGGACGGCCUUCGGGUUGUAAACCGCUUUCGCCUGUGACGAAGCGUGAGUGACGGUAAUGGGUAAAGAAGCACCGGCUAACUACGU
rnacentral:rRNA from 1 species